rnacentral:misc_RNA from 1 species
CUCUAUCCCCAAGAAAAAGGCCCGUUUUACUCCUUAACUAUGCUAUGUUAUCCUUUUUUUGUCAGCGGUUCCAAAUUCGGUAAGUUUCUCAUUCACUCCACUCUUUCACAAAUGGAUCGGAGCAUAAAUGUUUCUCUCUUAUCACAAGUCAAGUCUUGUGAUAUAUACGCACAAAUGCACACCUAUGAGCAAGGAAUCCCCAUUUGAAUCAUUUAAUUUACAGUCCAUAUGAUUUACUUAAACUUACAAAGUCUUCUUUUUGAAGAUGCAAGAAAUUCCCGGGCCUGGGUACGACUUUGUAAUGCUUUUUGAAUCUCUUUAAUUGACAUAAACUCAAGCCCUCUAGUAGUAUAGAGAUGAUGCAUCGGGAAAGGUCGGGAUAGCUCAGCUGGUAGAGCAGAGGACUGAAAAUCCUCG